AAAAAAAUACUAUAAAUUAUUAUAAAUAGGUAAUAAUAAAAUUAUAAUCUAUAAUGAAAAUUAAUAUUAAUAUAAGUUGGUUAAUAAAAUAAAUCGUGGUUCAAAUUGCCCGAGCACGAACACAUUGACCGGGCAAUGUACACAUUGCCUAGUAUUCUACAUUGCCCGUAACAUAUGUAUAUACAUUUUGAAAAUUGCCACCUACUUAUUAAUUUUUAUUUACCAUAAUAUUAUAUUGAAUACAAACACGGUUGAAUUUAAUCUAAAGGGAAGUAUAUACGAUUAAGGAUUGUAACAGUGUUCAAACAUCAAACCAAUCUAGGAGUAGCCAUAUUACAAUAAUUGAUGGCCACAAACAUUUAAGUGUUUUGUGUAUUAAUUUUUAAUAAUAAUAUAAGACAGUUUUAAAGUAAGUGACUAUAAACAAAACUAAAUAAGCUCAGCAAAGUUUGGGGAUUUUGAAUAAAAAAAAUAAUUAAAUAAAUAUAAAAAGUUCCUAAAAAUACGUCGAUGAAGAACAUCGAGCGUGGUUUCAAAAACUGGUGUCAUCGAUAAGCGUAUACAUUUUCUCAUCGGACUGGUUAGGGAAACUUGUUUUUACAUUUAUAUAUAUAUUCAAACACCGUUGAACACCAACAAUAAUAAUAAAGUAUUAUUUUAUAAAAUAUAUAUAAUAUACGGGACAAAAAAAUUAGAAUAACACGUUGGUCUUAUAUUUAUUUAUUUUAUUUACGUAAACACGCGGGGAAGUAGGCGCGGUGUACCCUCCCGACGCAGUAUUGCAGCAAUGAGAUGACCUAAAUCGUUAGUUCGAUAUAAAGUCGUAGCCGAUCAUAAUAACGCGUAUCUAUCGGUCGAUCGAAUGCAUGCCGUGGCGCAAACCCGGGUGAUCGGUGACGGUGGUGGGUAAGUAUAGCGUCAGCGGAAAUACAAAACCAAUGGUUAAAGUGGUUACGGCACCCCGUCCGACCAUAGUAAUUAGUAUUUGCGUUGGAACGUCGUGGUCGUGAAUUACCAUUGAUUGUAAAUACCUAAGAGAAUAAGUGUGUGGUAAGUAUUUUAAACGAACGGUUAAGUACCGAACAAUAACGGAAAACUGCGACGACGGUCGCGAGCAAAAAACGUCCAUGUCCCGCGACGGUCACCGCUCGUGAGCACCACAGUGAUUGUCGCGUAGUAAAAAAAAUAUUUCGACGGUCCGACGACACGAGGGACCCAGGCACCCAGCUGAAUAGCCGAUCGUUUAAUCCAGUCGCGCGACACGUCAUAAUCACAAUAAUAUAUAACCUAACAAACGAGUAAAUUACAACUACGACAACGGCGACGACGACGAUGAUAAUAAUAAUAUUAAUAGUGUUCCAUUAUUUCGCGCGAUUGACGACCGCGACCUUGCCGUCGUGUGUAGUCUUUCUCCUUGACAUAGUACCUACUACCUAUAUACCGGCUAUGGUGUCGGACAUGGUAAUAUGGUAUCCGCUGCUCUUCGGGCGGACCCGAACGCCAGUGACGACGGCGUGACAAUAAUCAUGUCACGAAUAUUAUUGAUGUUCGCGGAGACGGUGGCGACGGCGACGGAGACGAUGGCGACGACGACAACCAAGAGCAAUUAUUAUUAUUUUAAUAGCAAGUCGCAAGAUCAAAACUACGUAUAACCUUGAAAAUCACACUCGGUUAUAAAAACAUUAUACACUUUUCGGUAUGCGACACACACAUACGCCAACAGUCGGGCGUUCCACCAAAAGUCUUCGAACGGCGGGUAUUAGAAUCAUUUGCGUUCGGAUCAACGACAUGGACAGCGCGAAAUGUGGGCGGCGCGCAGAAACGGUUCGCAGUGCUUUGUGUUAUUCGCGGUACAUUUCGCUAUCAUCGAUCCUGCGUGGCAG
rnacentral:lncRNA from 1 species